CCUCCCUUGCUGUCAAAACGUGUGUAUUGCUCGGGUGGAUAGUCGUGCUAAUUGGUGACACUGGAGUUGUAAAGGACAGUGUUCGUACUGCUAUGAAGGUUUCCUGUGUCAGACAUAUGGCUGUAGCUGGUCAGACUUGCUGUCCUCGAGUACUGAAUAGAUGCCUUACUACUAAUACUUUGUGUUCAUCGCUAAGACUAGAACCAUGGAGGUCAAAGGUCACUCAAAAGAUGAUGUAUAGAGUCUUUCACAGGGGCACAGCAUCUUUAUCUCUACAUUCAAAAUUACAAGGAUGGAAAGUAAACAAGCCUGAUUAUGUUACAACACGUAAUGCUGGAACAAUG